AUUACGUUCCUGAACCUGGGAAAUUGUGGCUUUGCCACAUCCCUUUUGUGCUUUUACUGUGACAGAUCAGAUAGCUUCCCCCAAGAGGGAGCAUGAGGGGUGGUGGGAGGACAGCAGAUCUGCACAAAGUGAUGAACAUUCACAGAGAGCUGCACAAAUGGACUGCCACAGCAAUCCAGUGAGAAUGCGAACUCAAGCAGCAUUAAAGGAAAAGUGCAGCUCCUCUCCCAGUAUGAUGACUCAAUAUUUUCAACAAUUUACUGUCAGAGAAGCAGUUACUGUGGUUUUACUUCAGUCUUCCUGAAUGCAUAGAAAUUUCCCCUCUCCUGUGUUUUGGCAGACGGUGGGAUGCUGCUCUGAUCCUUGGAGUACCUCAGCAAGAGAUAAUCAAGCUGUGUAAAAAUUACCACAUGAAUUACGGAUUUUUUGCAUAUGAAAAAUUGUAUUUACUGUGCUUCUGUGAACCUAACACACACUGUGAGGUGGAUUUUCCAUUGGAACUUUCUCAAGAGCUCAAGUCUUCCAGAUUUGGUUUAAGACUAAAACAGUUUUACACCUGGUUCAACAUUUUGAAUAGACUGUCUUGAAGUUAAUAUAAAGGCUAAUGCAGGAUUAUUCUCCUAGAAGAGAAAUGAAAGUCUAAACAAGUUGUCUUCAAAAGGCAGAGCUUUCAGAAAGAUAUUGCAAAACCUGGAUGGAUUGGUCAUUACAGAAAUCAACAACCCACUAAGAUAAUGGGAGAACAAAGGGAUGCCAAAGAGUCCCAAAAUGCCAUCCAUUCCUAGAAAUGUUUCAGUGCAGAUGGUGCUGUGAAAACUGAACUAUUCCAGAGAUUUUAAGUGGCAGAUGGAAGUACCCGAGCCUGUGUGAGCAGACAGCUACAUCCUUUCUGUUCUGGCUCGGCAAAAACCACACUGCCCAAACGAUUACAAAAGGGAAGUCAUGCCAAAUUACCAGAUCCAUGAGUUCAACACAUCCUGCUGUGUCACUUUAUCCACAUAAAUUAAAGGAACUCCAUUAAAAAAGUGUUAUGACAACUUAGAGUUGGUAACUGGCUAUGUGAAGGAGGCUCAGGAAUUAUCUCUGGCUCUUACUAAACAAGGUAAAUAUAUUUCCCUACCGUAUUUACAUUAUUCAUACUACAGUAGUUAAGGGUGCCAUCAGCUUCCUCAGUCAGUAAAAAAGGGAUUACAGACCAAUCUAUCUUUUUAUUUUAAGUGCAUUCUGAUGUCAUUUCUUGUUUGGUAACUUUUGUGCCCUCUCAGCUCCUGCAGAGACAAACUCUUAAAUCUUUAACAGAGUCCUCAGAAUUCUGCUGACGCUAUAUGCGUUUCUCUUGCAUUAUGUAGUGGGACUUUUAACACAUGGGGUAUUCAGUCUUCAGGUGGAAAUGUCAUCAGCUUUUUAUAAAUUAGGUUCUAAGCCAGUUUGGAUACAGUGUGGGAGCUGAA